UCCCGCCUUUCUAAUCACGAUCACUGAUUACCAAUAAUGCAAGGGUAACUACCACAUUGAUUUAUAAAAUGUUAAUGUGCACCAACGGCAUAACGUAGAUGGUAUUGACUGACGUACUUGUGACAGGAACCAUGCACAUGUGGCUGCGCUUGGUCACGAGUAAACUUGGGAGUUCGACGACUAUUACCUGGUGUGUACUUUGCGGGAGAAAUAAGGGUGUGUUGCCGGAACCCACGUUUGAAGUAAGAUUAGUCGAGUGGGGGCGCUAUCCCCUGGUUUUGGACCUGGAUAACUGAUAUUCCUCUCAGAGAUUGCGCAUUGUGGGAGGGAAAUACACUAUUUCUGUCCUCACCUACAAGCUACGAUCGAGAAAGCGCCCUCUGUCGAUCUGUUCCCUCAUUUGAGGCGGUUUUUAUUUUCAGGUAAAAGUUGUCUCAUUUAAAGGAGCGCCCUCUCUCGUUAUGUUUUCCCAUGGUUUUCCAAAUAAGCCAGGCGAGUAGGUUUUCCCAUGGUCAUGAUGAUCAGAUGUUUGUUGGAAUAAACGAAUCCCUGAUGUUCUAGUGUACAGUGAAUGAGUGUCCAAGCCAGUUUAUUUUUGUCACUUAGGGUUCCGCCUGAACCACUAAGCCAAUCUGAUACCAGUAAGCCAUCCAGCCCAAUCAGCCCUUCAACACUCAACGGACCGGACUCGUCGUCCACUGAUGGUCUUUCCGGAAUGUGCCGCCCGCGCCGCGCUCAGCGGAGAGGGCGCACUCGCCUGACAUGCCUGAAUCUCACUCCACAGUACGCAGUCCACCUCAUGGCCUCACAAGCCUUCCAACUAUCUGGUGAUUCUUACAUGCAAUGGCUGCUCCUUCAGUUGGAAUGUCAAUCAAGAAAAAAUGAUCUCCACCACAUCUUGGGCCAGAAUUCUUGAGCCUUUUUCUUCUUGUUCUGAUGGUUUAUUUGAGGAAGGAAAAUCUACAGAGAGCCACCAUUCCUAAAGCCAACUACACGAUGUAUGCCAUCACCAUCCUGUGAUUGAGACCGUAGCUGCAGAUUCCUCCUUGAUGUGCCAUGGUACCGGCUGUCCUCGUCGGAUCCUGUUCCACUACUCGUUGAGUUUGCUCGAUACUUUUUCAGAGUGCAUAGCUCUUGGCCAACCAGCAUUGAAUGAGUUCACUGUUUGUCCUCUUCCUUUCACCGAGGAACCGUCUCAAGAAUGACCCUCCAUGUGCUCUGACCUGAAUGUUGAUUGCUGUGUUUACUGAGGCCUUUUAUGGAGAUGCAAUUACGAAGAAGCAUAGGCAAAAGAACAUCAGUGAACCAAGCUGGGUGAAGUGGUUGGUUCCUGUCUACCGUGGUCCUUGGAGGGGUUCACCUCACAGACUUGGCCAGUACAAAUAGGGUGCUCCUAAUUUCAAUUAUUACAUUUGCCAAAAAAGUGUCCAUCAUUGUCUUGACACAGUAAACAGAGUUUCCGGCUUGCAAAUAAUCACAUUUUAAAGCUUAGCUGCAAUUUCAUUUUUUAAGAAUUUUUCUGGAAUUUUGUACGCUUGUUCUUUGUGUAAAAACUCUUUUACAUUUCUUUUUGGUUACAUUGAAAAUUGCACUUUUUAGCAUUUAAAACUAUCCAAGCUUUCCUGGACAACUGAGGGCGCUAUUGUUGUGAAGUCCUGGGAAGGCAUAUUUCAGCGCAUGGGUUUUUAAUAUUUCUGAUAAAGGGAUUAAUGCUUGCUUAUUGCUAUGAACAAAAAACAACAAUGAAUCAAUAAAGAGGAGAAAUUUAAAGUCCAGCAAAAUCUACAAAAUGAAAGA